GGUAGAUGAAAUCAUGUGGGACUCCUCUUACCUAGCUCUUGGUGCUGACCCAGCAGAGCUGACUGUAUGGUGCUCUCUGCCAUGAUUAUUGUUUGAGUCCAAGGAGUGCAGCAAGGCAGCGGAGAAAGUGAGCCGUUUUUAUCAACUAAAAAAACCUGUAUAUGUACUGCUGGACUAACUGCAAAUCAGAUCUGCAAGCAAGUUUGAUUUGUGAGUUGAUGACUUGUCUGAGCCUCACUGAUAGAGAGGCAACAGCACUCGUGCAACACUGCUCGGAGAGAAAAGGAACACUGAAGUGUAACACAAAGAGCAAAGCCAGAAGGAGCCUUGGCUUUCUCAUAUCUCUCAGAAUACCUGCAGUAAUCAAGCUGAAUGCAUGAGCUGCUGUGAAUGGGAUCUGACACUGCCCCCCUUGAAGGCAAUCUGAGGAGUCCCAAAAACUUCAAAACAAGACAAAUAGGGAUCUAAAUGCCUGUCAGACUUAGGUGAAUGCAUGUCAAGCUCCCCACAGCAGCUACUAUGUUACAGGGGCAAACACAUGUUGCAAAGGGAUGUGGAGAAGUCAUCAGUCUCGAGAAAGCGAUUGGACACCUGGGAGAUUUGAUCUAGGAAGAUUUUCCAUCACAGGAGUGGGAGGACACAAUGUAGCAGCCUUCAAAAAUAUAAAAGGGUGCCGUGCAAAGGAAGGAAGGAGUUUUCUUUGCUUUUCUCGUCAGUGAUAGAUGAGACAAGAAGUGGGCCUAGAUUUCUGAGAUUUCUUUUCCAACUCAGGAGAAUUCUGACUUUAACAGCUGGUGAGUACCCAGUCAGGCUAAGGAAAAUAUGUUUCUGAGUACAGGUUAAAGAAGCAUUUCACGGCAAUGAUUUAGACUAAAUAUUGUGUUUACAGUUAACUUAGUAGUCUUUGAUCUCUGCAACAGCAGAAAUUUUAAAUAAAUAUUGAAAGAAGAACAUUUAUAUCUAUUAAGUUGAAUUUGAUUGAUAACAGCAUGCUAAAUCCUGUAUCUCCCAGAAAACUUCCGCAAAACAACAAUUCAGACCCAUUCAAUUCACAAAAAUCCAGAUUCAGAUUGUGGAGACAAAUGUAUAUAUAUAUAUGUAAGGACAGAAAUGUGUACAAACAUACAUAUGGACAUAGGGGAGAGGGAGAGAUUCAAAGGGCUGACAUUUUCUGGGUACUCCUUUUAAAAGAAACAAAGAAAAAUGGAAAUUCAUUUUUAUGCCACCACUCCUUCCAGUGACAAAGUAUGAAUCUUAACUGAAAGGUUUCACCCUUCAAAAGUUUAAAUAAUUAGAAAAUAUGAUAGUCCUUAAAGCUGAAGAGGAAAGUUGAGUAUGAAGUAUAAUCUACAACUGAUGUAUAUUGCUUUCAGAUGUGUGGUUUUUGACCACUCUUGUGAUAAAAUGGCAAACUGGUUUUUCCAGGAACACGUUGUCAUGUGUGGGCUACAUUGAUAAUGACUACAGACACACUGACAGAGAGGUUAGCUGAGAGGAGCUGGAGUGGUUGAAAAUUUAAUAUUAAGUACAUUAUUGAGGUUAGUAAGCUCAGUCCUAUAUCUUUAGUAACUGAAAGAUGAAGCCCAGUAGGUCAGUGGAAGUCAGUAGAAGACUACUGGAGAUUUCUGGAGUGUUAGACUAGUACUCUUUCCUAUAAUUUACAUCUCUGUAGUAUUUGAGAAUUUUUGACACAGGAUGAAUUUUCAUAUUUACAGAUGCUAAAAUCUGACUUCUACACCAAUUUAUUUAGUGUUGCAUCUUAGAUAACCAGUUGCAAAUGCAAAUUAAGGCAAGGAUGGCAGGCAUGGAUGGUGAGGUAAAAGUCAGACUUUCCACUGUGAAUAACAGGUACAUUGAAGUUAGGCUGUGCUCCAUGUCAAAAGGGAAGAGAAACAGCUUGGAUUAGAUUGAGUAGAGUAAAAAAAUCAGGGAGGGAAUUAAAAAAUAUAUAAACCAUGAGAUGAAUGGGAAGGUGAAAUAAGAAAAUUAUUUUUGAAUGACUAAGUGCAGGGCAAGUUUGUAUUUGUCUAGGUUGCAGAGAGUGUGGUGAGGAGGAACUUGGCUAGCAUUUUAAGUAGGUGACCAAAACAGGGACUACCACAUCCUAGGUUCUGCAAAGAGAAGACCUAAUUAUUGAUCACCCUUUAAAAUGAGGUUCAAACAGAUGUACUUUGAAUAUUAAUAAGCGUGUGUCCAAUUUUAAACAUCUACAUUUUCAGUUUAGUCUUUUAGUAUUUGUCCAUUUGAAGAAGAAAGGACAAAAUCCAGGCUGUUGGUUAAUACUGUUAAGGGAUUCUACCUCAGUUGUAUUUGCAGUGGAUAGUGUUCCAGUUAAAUCCAUAUCACUGUGCAGGAAACAGCAGCCAAUUUGCUUGUCUAGAUUACAAGUGUAGCUUUGUAUUCUCACAUGAUUGUAGGCUGGCCUGGACAACUGGGCAGUGUUUCAGACCGGCUGGCACUAGGCAGUCAGAAUUCAGAUUUUGAAGCCUGUUUGCUUUCUUUAUCCAGACCCCAGCUACUUUUUCAAGCCCUUCUGGGGGCUCUUUCCCAGCAGAGCAAUGUUAGGCAAGAUUGCAGAGAAAUAAACUUUGAUGCUGGCAAUGCUGUCAUCACCUGGAUUCAGCAGAAUCUCGGGGGAAUGGCGUGGUAAUGGAAGUCUGUGCACUGAAAUAAUUUUCAAUUUAAAAAAAGAGAGGCAUACUUCUCAUUUAUUCAAAGACAUGGCACAGCAUCGAGGAUUGUCAGGAGAGCCUUACACAGGCCAGAUAAACUAAAUUACCCUUGUAAGCAUUUCCAAUUCUGUGUGCAUCGUCAGGGUGAGCCAGAGUAGAGAGCUGUAUAUUUUGUACUGCUACAGGAACUGGGGCAGUGCCAGGGCAGAGCUAGACAGACUUUAUGUUCCCAACAGGUGGGUGUAAAAUUAUAGCUGUGGUGAUUUUUUUUGCAAUUUUUGCCUCUAUUUCCACUGAGAGUAAAGCUUACCUUUAAGGAGAGAUUAAUUUCUUAGAUGAAAUAUCUUCUCCUUACAACAGACAGCUGCCACACUUGCCAUACAGGAGUUGACAAUAGUUUAUAUUGUUCUGCAAGAUCUUUCAAGAUCUUUAAUUCUUAGGGCUUUUUUUUUUCAGUAUUUAUCUACUUUGGGCCCCAUAAAUUACUUUAUUGCAAUAUUGAAACUGGCAUUAAUGAUGAAAUUGUUUGAUUUAAGGGUGGGAAGUAAAUUAAUUAAAACCCUGUGUCAAAAGCUUUCCCUGCCUUUGACUUCUAUACCCAGCCAAACUUUUAGGGCCAUUGGAAGAAGAUAUUCUUCAUUCCUUCAACUGACUAGUCAAAACACUGCCACUUAUGACAGGGUGACAGAGAGAAAGUCAGUGCAGAUUAUGCAAAUUUGGUUUAGUCUUUGGUGAAAAGGGGAUCUGUAACUGAGCACAAAAGUUACAUAUCGAAGAUAUCCUAGGAGGUCAUAUUUGUGGUAAGCAGUUUAUACUAUACACCAAAGACUUUCUUAUUGUCCAUGAAGUCCAAGACAUCACAAAUACCAUUUUCACAAACUCCUUUUGGCUACUUUUCAUUUCAGUAUUCAAUGGGAGAUUUUCUAGAAUUAGAGCAAGUAAAGAAUUGACCAAUGGUCAGUUCUUCAGUGGUCUAGACAGGUUUGUGCACGGGUCUCAUGACACACAGGUAUGUCAGUAGCAGGUUUGUUUAGGAGUAACUCUAAUGUGUAGGAAUUUUCUUUAAAUUACUUCCACUAUCUUUUUUAAUUUUUUUUUCCAUUUUAAACGUGAGACAUUGAUUCCUGAAACCAUAUGUUUUAUUAAACCAGUUUUUGACUUUUGCUGUUGUUAACCCUGGAGGGUCAAAGCACUGAACUCCCACCACUGGCCAAAAGUGUAAUCCUGUGCCUCAUGUCUUGUUACCAAGAGAAGCAAAACAGAAAUGGAGACCAGAAACACAAUUUUUGUAAACACUAUAGUUAGAGUUCAAGAUUCCCAGUUUCUGGUAAACAUAUCAUUUGAAGCACAGAAGUGUUUGUCUGCUUAAACUCCUGUGCAGUCCUAGCACUAACAUCAAAAAGGUACAGAAGAGAGUCACUGUGGAGCUGUUCAGCUCUGAGCAUAUUUAUAUAUGAGCACUGUACCAAAACUUCUUUGUUGUUGUACAAAUAAAUUUUGGUGUAAUUUUAGGAGUGUAUGGGUAGGAGGGAUUUCAGAGACUGUGGAUGAGAAUUUCCCCUACUGUGAUGGAGGACUAAUAAGCUACCAGCCCCUCUUGGAGCAAUUAAAAAAAAUAAUUCUAAUAGAAAAUAUUUCUAAAUAAUUCCUUUUUUCUCGUUAUUUUCUAGUUGUAACUCUUGAUUACACUCAGAAUCUCAGAAUUUUUCUUAGGCUUUCCAUGGUAGCUUUUGAUUUUUCUCCCUUAUAUAUACUAGAAAAAUGUUGCAAUGUGUACAUUCAACUCUGCUUUUGCUUAUUCUCUUCUUUUCAGAGAAGACUACUUCAUCAAAUCAAUCUGCUUUUCUUAAUUGAUUAGUGUGUUAGUCCUCACACCAUCCUUGUUCAUAUUUUCUUCCCUUCUUCAAUUUUUCGUGUCCCAAAUUGAAAGGUGCACCAGACAAAUUUCACCAGCAGUAAAUACAGUACACUGAGGAAAAGUGAUGCCAUGUUCUUGCCUCAAAAUUUAUUUAUUACUUACUUCAAUUCCCUAGCUUCUCUUUUGCUGUAAAGCAGCUUACAUAUUUUAUCCCAUGUCUUAUAUUUGAUCUGCCCUUCCAGCCUGUAAUACUUUAUAUUUGUUUUGAGGUUUUUGACUUCUGUUAUUUCAACCAUAUUCUGUUUUCAGCACUGUGAUGAACCCUCCCCUUUGCAGUCCCAAUUAUUACCAUUACUGAAU